rnacentral:lncRNA from 1 species
CUUCAUGGACACCCACACAGAUUCACUGGAGAGCAAAGCCUACCAGAGUCCCUGUCAGCAGCACUGUUUCUAGAAGCUUCCACAUGAGCAGACAGCAUGGAGUCCUGGGGGCUAAUGAAGCAGCAAUGUCAGCAUGAGCACAGGCAGGGAGAGGCAAGAGGAGCAGAGUAAAGGGGAACGUUCUCUUCAUUCUUCCACCUGCCUGUCCCCCAGCCGACACGUCCCUUCCGUUCCCUGCAAGGCCAUUUCCAGGGAGGCUUACGAAGACAGCAGAUGAUGGUGAUGGAAGGAGUCUGGGUGCUGAGCUGUGCCAUGGACCUGGAGAGAAACUGAGUCCGAGGGAUGUCAACAUGCCAAGUCCAUGGAAAUAUCAGUGGGCUGGAAUUCUAGCUGCCUGAAAGAAGACAUUCCUCACACAAGACCUCACAAUCAUAUCCAUGGAAUUAUAGCACUGGGCUCUCCAGAUGGUGCUACAGGAAGACCUCCAGAAAUUUGACAAUCCUCUAUUCAAGGCCCUACCACAGAGACACACAGGAACGGAACUCAGAAUCACAAACAAAGAAACUUUGAUCCAAGAAAGAAAAUGAUCUUUAAAAAGACCCUCGUUUCAUGCUGGCCGAUGCUGAGAAAAUCUGCUCUGAAGGAUAUUUGGAGACACUGAUUAAAAGGUAGUACCAUCACCACAUAUUUAACUUCCCCCUCUUUUUCCUCUGCUUCUAGGAGUAGAGAAACCAACAAAACCAACCGGAGAGAGAUGGUUUCAAACAAUCUGUCCCCCACCCCACCACUAUUCACACCUUUCACAAGGGCCCAGCCACAAAGCCAGUGCAACAUGACAUCAAUCAUCAGCAAAGUGGAGAUGGUUGUCCCAGUGGAGGGGGAUUCUUCGUGUUACGUAGAUAGGAAGCACGAUGCAAAAGUGUUGAAGCAGGAGUGUAAAGAAUAAUUAAAACACCUGCCCAAGACCCAAGCAAGGAUAGGAUUUCCCAGACAUUCGUGAGGGAGAAAAUGCCAUGUCCUUUCCUUCUGGUGUCACAUCAGAAUCUGAAGGCUGCUAGAGAAGGGAGAGAAACAUGAAAGUGAGUCCCAUGCUGAUUGUUGUUGAAAUACCUGGAAAGAAACUGGCAAAGACUAUCCAAGGGAUGCUAAGACAUGUCCGAACUUACAAAACAGUAGAACCUGAAUAGGAAUUUGAAGUUGUCUAUACUCUCCUCAGCCACACCCUGCCAUUUUACAGAUUGUCUUCUCUGGGGAAGUUAGCUGUCAUGUUGUGAGGAUACUCAAGCAGUUUAUAAAGAGGUUCAUGUCGCAAGGAAUGGAGGCCUCCUGCCAACAGCCAUGUAAAGGAGCCAUCUAGGAAAUAGAUUCUCCAGCCCCAGUCAGACCUUCAGAUGAUUACAGCCCCUACCAACCUUCUGACUGCGGUGGAAGGAAGGUUCCGGAACCAGAACCACCCAGGUUAAUGUGGGUAAGUCUCAUCCAAUCCUUUGAAGGCCUGAAGAACAAAGAGUGAGGUUUCUGGAAGAAGAAAAUUUUACCUCAAGCCUGCAAUGUAGAAAUUCUGCUUGAGUUUCCCGCCUGCUGGCCUGCCCUGUGGAAUUCGGAGUCAAGAAGGAGUCUUGUAAGCAUUAACUGAGAUAGUAUAUGAAGAGUGCUUUUGCACCGAGUGAACCUUCAAUCAACUGUACUAGUUUGUAUGCCUGGAAGAGCUGCUAUAUGGGAUCAGAAAGAAAAAUAAGGUGCAUACGCCAGAAAAAAAAUACUUGCAUAUGAGUACUAGGAGAUGCAUGACAAUGUUCACGGCAGCAGUAUUCAUGGCAGUGAAAAAUGAAAAGAACUGAAAUGCCCAUUGAUAAAAACGUCUACUUAUUUGUGUCAUCUUUGCACAGUGGAAUUGUGCGAGUGGAAAUGAUUGAUCUACAGCUAGGAGAAGCAGCAGAGCUCAAUCUCAAAAACAUAACGUUGUGUGGAAAAAGCUAACCUCAGAACACUUUGCGGCUCUAUCUUAGCAAACCAGGAGAGAAAUUCUCCUGAUGGCCUUGAAGAAGCAAACAGCCACCUGGUUAAGCCCCUGUGGAUAGUGCCAAGUGGCAGGAAAGUGGGAGCCACCUCUAGGACCUGAGGAUUAAAGUCAGUAAGAGCUGGGACCUCACUCAUGCAGACUCGAGGACAUGAAUUCGACCAACAACUUGAAUGAGCUUGGAAGUGGAUUCUUCCCUAGUCCAGUCUUCAGAAAUUAAGAAUGUUCCCAAAGAAUGAUGGAGACAUUUCAAAAGGAUACGGAAGCCAGAUUGUGGGCGCUUCUACUGGCCAACUCUGGGACAUCGUGGACAUCAAAAUAAAUUUGUAAUAAUAAAGGAUUAUAGCCUAUUAGUUAAAUCAGAAAAAUCUGAUUUAACUAAAUGAGUAGGAGGAAAAGAAAGCUCUUCCUUAUAUUAGAAAGUCAAUUAAUAAAUGCAGAAAGGAAUGAAAAAAUUAGAAAAGCCACCAUUUGGCAACCAUGGCAGGCAGAAUGGGGAGUAUGCCUCCAGACAGUAAUUCCUUUCAAACUGGUUUAUAGGAACUCACUGAGCUUGCUGAUCGACCUCUGAGAGGCAAAGUUUCUGAAUUAUGAAGUACUGAUUAUAUAAACUUAGACAGAGACAUGCUUCAUUAUUUAAUAGGACUGUGUCAAAAGCCUACUAUUAGGAUGAUGUGUUGGGUGUGGAACAGGGUCUCUUCCUGCCAGGAACACUGGUGAUUUCACUCCGUGUUCAGGCUGAUCUUUGAAGUUGAAGACAAGCAGAAGAAUCCUUCUAAAAUUUAGCCAUGCCCAUAGGCUGGGAGGGACACUGCUCCAUUCAGAGGCAGCAAAGCACAUUACUGUAUCUCCUAUAGAGCUUUGAGCAGUCCAGUGUACAUGGAGAAACUUAGUAAAUGUUGUUGAAUUAGUGAAUGAACAAAUCAAUGGACCAAGUCAGGGGUAAGUCUUACAUUUGUCAUCUAGGUGAUUAAGAAAGGAAAAAGUAUCUGUUUCAAGAGGAUUACAAUCUAACUGUACUCCAAUAGUAAAAUUUACUCUUUUGGAAUCUGAAGACA